UGAAAAGCAACAACCAUCUACCAUAAAGAAGAGAGAAAAUUGCAGGCAGUCAAAGAGCAAUCAUAGAAUGAGGUUUUGCUCUCAGAGAGGUGGACUGGUUGCGCUACGGUGGUUGCCUCCCUCUCCCUCUGAAAGACUGCGAAGCCGAUGAUUUCACCAUCGCCCUCUUCACAUAUAGCAAGAAGCAUGCAAUGUUCCAGCCCAGCACGAAAACGAAAAUAAGCUGAAGGGUAAACCAGUCCAGAGAGAACAUCACCAUCCUUGCUCAACCUUGAUCAAAUAAAUUUAAUGUUUCAAAAUUUUGUUAAAGUACAUGUAAAUUAAAUCAUAUUAUUCAUUAAAAUUAAUU